rnacentral:lncRNA from 1 species
CUCCAUACACAGGCAGAAAGAUGCCAUUAACUAGGAAUUUCUGUAAGUACUCUGCUUUUCUUGGCCAAUAUGGAAAGAGCCUAGGAGCUGGAAAUAGAAUGAGAAGCUAAUUCUGUUUUCCUGGUCUCUACCAAUGUGUGUAGGUAAGUGGCUUGAUCGCACUGUGGCUCUGUGAUCCAUCUGAAGAAACACGCGGGAUGGCUUACCACCCUGACUGCUCUUCUGGAAAGGAGGCCAGCAGCUGAGCAGCAGUCAGCACGGAGGUACCCAUCAUGGAGCCACAGCCUGGCACGAAUUGAUGUCUGGAUCCAGGCAGGGUCACCAAAGGCAGGAGAAGAAUCCAACCAUCAUGCUGUGAAAAGCCCAACGUAACCACAUGGAGAGGCCACAUGGAAAGGAACUGAAGCUGUGGUCAACAGCAGCAGUUGAGUUCCCAGUCAACAGCCAGCUCCAACUUUCUAGUCAUGUGAGUGAGCCAUCUUGGAAGUGCAUCUUGC